rnacentral:rRNA from 1 species
GACGUAGGGUGCAAGCGUUGUCCGGAUUUACUGGGCGUAAAGAGCGCGUAGGCGGCUCGUUAAGUGUGAAGUGAAAUCUCUAGGGCUCAACCCAGAAACUGCUUUACAUACUGGCGAGCUGGAGUGAUGCAGAGGUUUGUGGAAUUCCCGGUGUAGUGGUGAAAUGCGUAGAUAUCGGGAGGAACACCAGUGGCGAAGGCGACUUCCUGGCCUGUUCUUGACGCUGAGGCGCGAAAGCUAGGGGAGCAAACGGG